UCAUUGUGGCGAUACCGUCUUCUUGUAAUAUAGCCUUACAAACUCGUCUUUAAACAAAGGAUUUCUGUCAUUUCAGGCACACAAUUGUCAAAGCCAAAAAGGUGGCCACCCUCAAUGUAGUUUGUCAGACAGAAAGGUGACCUACUGUAUGUCUGUCUCUAUCCCGCUCACUGAAUUGACCUCAAAUAUAGUCUAGGCACUACUCCGUCAAGUCUGUAAUAAGCAAAUGACUGAAUCAAAGAUUAAUAGCGUACUGCAUAGUUUAACAAAAUAGUUAUGUAAUUAGGCGCAUUGACAACAUCAAACAUCAACAUCAAAUCCAGAGGCAAUAUUGCCUGCAUCUUUGCACUGGAUGAAGGAACAAGUAUUUAUUUUAGCUGAGGGGUAUACAAAUCAUUGAUGUUCAUUGCAAACAUUGGAGUUGUGCAGCAAUCAGAAAUUAUCAUCGUCAAAAUCAUGACUUUUUUUUUUAAAUCACGCGUUUCAUUGAUUCACGGAGUUAUCACACUUCUGACACCAGGGUAACCCAUUCAGACACUAACGUUACCAUUAGCGCCUAUUGAUGAUAAUGCUGUGUCUUCUGGCCGGGGCAGUUUUGUUAAGGGCUUCGAAUCUCGUUCUGAACGUUAAAACGCGUCACUUGUGGUACGGUUUUGGAAAUCGGCGAGGUAUAAUACAAAUAAAAGGUUAAAUCACCACACACCUUUAUUCUGUUAGGGUUAGUGUUCGCACACUGUCAUAUCUCCAUGAUACUUACAGUGAAUGUUAACGGAAGACAGAGAAAGCCACCCGUGCUAAUUAGCCAUCUAGCAUGCUUUGAAUACGUAAGCUAACUGGGGAGGAGGUGUAGUUCCUCAAGUGGAGGAACAACGUAUGGAUCUGUGCAAAACUGCUACAGGCCAGAUCCUUGAGUCUUUCAACAUGGCGGCUCUGUGGCAGCUGCCAUGUAUCUUCAUCUAUGAGAACCACAAGUUUGGCAUGGGGGCGUCUGUAGAGGUCAUCUGCUAGCACUGAGUACUUCGAGAAGAGACUAUAUUCCUGGCCUCAAGGUGUAUGUUGACGGCAUGGACAUUCUGUGUGUGAUGGAGUCCAAAUUUGCUGCAGACCACUGAAGAGCCAGAACUGUGAUUGGUUGUAGAACUGGAGAAGAGGAGUUCUGAUUGGUGCAGAGAUGGGAAAGUUAUAACUGGUUUAAGAGCUUGAAGAGUGUUAAGAAUCAAUUUGUCUCAGACAAUCUAAUCCCAGAGCGAUGAAAAGCUUCUAGUGUCACGUCAGUGUCUCUUCCCUGACAGAGGGAGGCUAUGUGACCAACAAAGAGAGACUAUAUGGAAGAGACUCCAGUACAGAACUGCAACUGGUCCCAGUUUUAAAUUAAAUAGUACCUGCAAAACACCAGUCUGGCCUUCUAGGCAGAGUUGCAAAGAAAAAGCCAUAUCUCAGACUG